AAAAGAGCGAAAACCGCCGCGCAGAAGGGAAAAGGAAGCCGUUUAUGCUGCCGCCUCGGACAAGCCAGGGUCAUCUGCUGAGACGACCCCAGACCCUGAACCAACGUGCGACACAUAUACUGCUGCCUCGAACAACCCAGGAUCAUCAGCUGAGGCAACCGCAGAACCUGAACCGACUUGCGGCUCACCGAGUGAGUAGAGAGCACGGUGACG
rnacentral:lncRNA from 1 species